rnacentral:rRNA from 1 species
UACAGAGGUCUCAAGCGUUGUUCGGAAUCACUGGGCUUAAAGGGUGCGUAGGCGGCCGACUAAGUAGGGUGUGAAAUGCCAGAGCUCAACUUUGGCAUUGCGCUCUAGACUGGUUGGCUUGAGUGAGAUAGGGGUGUGCGGAACCUCCAGUGGAGCGGUGAAAUGUGUUGAUAUUGGAAGGAACGCCGGUGGCGAAAGCGGCACACUGGGUCUUAACUGACGCUGAGGCACGAAAGCCAGGGGAGCGAACGGG